CGGAAGGAUCAUUACAAGUGAGGCUACCGAACGUUGGAAACAGCGGUUAGGAGCUUACACCCACCCGUGUUUACAUACUAUUGUUGCUUUGGCGGGCCGUGGCCUCCACUGCGGGCUCUGCUCGUGUGUGCCCGCCAGAGAACCAAACUCUGAAUGUUAGUGAUGUCUGAGUACUAUCUAAUAGUUAAAACUUUCAACAACGGAUCUCUUGGUUCUGGCAUCGAUGAAGAACGCAGCGAAAUGCGAUAAGUAAUGUGAAUUGCAGAAUUCAGUGAAUCAUCGAAUCUUUGAACGCACAUUGCGCCCUGUGGUAUUCCGCAGGGCAUGCCUGUUCGAGCGUCAUUUAACCACUCACGCCUAGCGUGGUAUUGGGGCACGCGGUCUCCGCGGCCCUCAAAAUUAGUGGCGGCGCCGGUGGGCUCUAAGCGUAGUACAUACUCCCGCUAUAGAGUUCCCCCGGUGGCUCGCCAGAACCCCCAAUUUUUACAGGUGACCUCGGAUCAGG
rnacentral:sRNA from 1 species